UACGGCGGGGGCAAGCGUUGUUCGGAAUUACUGGGCGUAAAGGGCGUGCAGGCGGUUUGUUAAGUGCAGGGUGAAAGCUCCCGGCUCAACUGGGAGAGGUCCUUGCAUACUGGCAAACUCGAGGGAGGCAGAGGAAAGUGGAAUUCCCGGUGUAGUGGUGAUAUGCGUAGAUAUCGGGAGGAACACCUGUGGCGAAGGCGGCUUUCUGGGCCUUACCUGACGCUGAGACGCGAAAGCGUGGGGAGCGAACCGG
rnacentral:rRNA from 1 species